rnacentral:rRNA from 1 species
UGCCGCCUGCCCAGUGAACUUAUUUUAACGGCCGCGGUAUCCUAACCGUGCAAAGGUAGCGUAAUCACUUGUCCUCUAAUUAAGGACUAGUAUGAAUGGCUAAAUGAGGGCCCAACUGUCUCAUACGAUCACCCAAUGAACCUGAUCUCCCAGUACAAAAGCUGGGAUACCCACACAAGACGAGAAGACCCUGUGGAACUUUAACCGCCUCGUCGACUAGAUUUCCCCCCACUCAAUCGACAGAUUACCACGCCCACCCUACUAUCGACAGAAAGUUUAAGUUGGGGCAACUACGGAGCAAAACAAAACCUCCGCGAACCUAACCCCGAGGCCUACCAGCCAAGGAUAACAUAAACCCUGACCCAGUAUUACUGACCACCGAACCAAGCUACCCCAGGGAUAACAGCGCAAUCCCCUUCAAGAGUCCCUAUCGCCAAGGGGGCUUACGACCUCGAUGUUGGAUCAGGGCCCCCCAGUGGUGCAGCCGCUA